GUAGGUGGCAAGCGUUGUCCGGAAUUAUUGGGCGUAAAGCGCGCGCAGGUGGUUCUUUAAGUCUGAUGUGAAAGCCCCCGGCUCAACCGGGGAGGGUCAUUGGAAACUGGGGAACUUGAGUGCAGGAGAGGAAAGUGGAAUUCCACGUGUAGCGGUGAAAUGCGUAGAUAUGUGGAGGAACACCAGUGGCGAAUGCGACUUUCUGGCCUGUAACUGACACUGAGGCGCGAAAGCGUGGGGAGCAAACAGGGAUUAGAUACCCUGGUAGUCCACGCCGUAAACGAUGAGUGCUAAGUGUUGGGGGGGUUUUCCGCCCCCUCAGUGCUGCAGCUAACGCAUUAAGCACUCCGCCUGGGAGUACGGUCGCAAGACUG
rnacentral:rRNA from 1 species